UUUAAUUUAGAACAGAUAGAAGUUUUAGCACUCCCCUUGACAAGGGUGGAAAAAGUAAAUUUUAU